AGGACGAACGCUGGCGGCGUGCUUAACACAUGCAAGUCGAGCGGUAAGGCCCUUUCGGGGGUACACGAGCGGCGAACGGGUGAGUAACACGUGGGUGACCUGCCCUUAGCUCUGGGAUAAGCCUGGGAAACUGGGUCUAAUACCGGAUAUGACCUCGCGAUGCAUGUCGUGGGGUGGAAAGCCUUGUGCGGCUAGGGAUGGGCCCGCGGCCUAUCAGCUUGUUGGUGGGGUGAUGGCCUACCAAGGCGACGACGGGUAGCCGGCCUGAGAGGGCGACCGGCCACACUGGGACUGAGACACGGCCCAGACUCCUACGGGAGGCAGCAGUGGGGAAUCUUGCGCAAUGGGCGAAAGCCUGACGCAGCGACGCCGCGUGAGGGAUGACGGCCUUCGGUUGUAAACCUCUUUCAGCCCUGACGAAGCGAAGUGACGGUAGGGCGAGAAGAAGCACCGGCCAACUACGUGCCAGCAGCCGCGGUAA
rnacentral:rRNA from 1 species